ACUCGAGUGGCGAACGGGUGAGUAACACGUGGGUGAUCUGCCCUGCACUUCGGGAUAAGCCUGGGAAACUGGAUCUAAUACCGGAUAGGAGCCAUUUUUAGUGUGAUGGUUGGAAAGUUUUUCGGUGUAGGAUGAGCUCGCGGCCUAUCAGCUUGUUGGUGGGGUAAUGGCCUACCAAGGCGGCGACGGGUAGCCGGCCUGAGAGGGUGUACGGCCACAUUGGGACUGAGAUACGGCCCAG
rnacentral:rRNA from 1 species